rnacentral:rRNA from 1 species
GAUGAACGCUGGCGGCGUGCUUAACACAUGCAAGUCGAACGGGAAACCUUUUAUUGAAGCUUCGGCAGAUUUAACUGGUUUCUAGUGGCGGACGGGUGAGUAACGCGUGGGUAACCUGCCUUGUACAGGGGGAUAACAGUCAGAAAUGACUGCUAAUACCGCAUAAGCGCACAGGACCGCAUGGUCCGGUGUGAAAAACUCCGGUGGUAUAAGAUGGACCCGCGUUGGAUUAGCUUGUUGGUGGGGUAACGGCCCACCAAGGCGACGAUCCAUAGCCGGCCUGAGAGGGUGAACGGCCACAUUGGGACUGAGACACGGCCCAGACUCCUACGGGAGGCAGCAGUGGGGAAUAUUGCACAAUGGGGGAAACCCUGAUGCAGCGACGCCGCGUGAAGGAAGAAG